rnacentral:rRNA from 1 species
GACGAACGCUGGCGGCGUGCUUAGCACAUGCAAGUCGAACGGAAAGGCCCUGCUUUUGUGGGGUGCUCGAGUGGCGAACGGGUGAGUAGCACGUGAGUAACCUGCCCUUGACUUUGGGAUAACUUCAGGAAACUGGGGCUAAUACCGGAUAGGAGCUCCUGCUGCAUGGUGGGGGUUGGAAAGUUUCGGCGGUUGGGGAUGGACUCGCGGCUUAUCAGCUUGUUGGUGGGGUAGUGGCUUACCAAGGCUUUGACGGGUAGCCGGCCUGAGAGGGUGACCGGCCACAUUGGGACUGAGAUACGGCCCAGACUCCUACGGGAGGCAGCAGUGGGGAAUAUUGCACAAUGGGCGGAAGCCUGAUGCAGCAACGCCGCGUGCGGGAUGACGGCCUUCGGGUUGUAAACCGCUUUCGCCUGUGACGAAGCGUGAGUGACGGUAAUGGGUAAAGAAGCACCGGCUAACUACGUG